rnacentral:rRNA from 1 species
GGCGAACGGGUGAGUAAUAUAUCGGAACGAUGCCCAGCUCGUGGGNGAUAACGCAGCGAAAGCCUGUGCUAAUACCGCAUACGAUCUACGGAUGAAAGCGGGGNAUCGCAAGACCUCGCGCGAUUGGAGCGNNCNAUAUCAGAUUAGCUAGNUGGUGGGGUAAAGGCCCACCAAGGCGACGAUCUGUAGCUGGUCUGAGAGGACGACCANCCACACUGGAACUGAGACACGGUNNAGACUCCUACGGGAGGCAGCAGUGGGGAAUUUUGGACAAUGGGCGCAAGCCUGAUCCAGCAAUGCCGCGUGCAGGAUGAAGGCCUUCGGGUUGUAAACUGCUUUUGUACGGAACGAAACGGUCUCUUCUAAUAAAGGAGGCUAAUGACGGUACCGUAAGAAUAAGCACCGGCUAACUACGUGCCAGCAGCCGCGGUAAUACGUAGGGUGCGAGCGUUAAUCGGAAUUACUGGGCGUAAAGCGUGCGCAGGCGGUUAUAUAAGACAGAUGUGAAAUCCCCGGGCUCAACCUGGGACCUGCAUUUGUGACUGUAUAGCUAGAGUACGGUAGAGGGGGAUGGAAUUCCGCGUGUAGCAGUGAAAUGCGUANAUAUGCGGAGGAACACCGAUGGCGAAGGCAAUCCCCUGGACCUGUACUGACGCUCAUGCACGAAAGCGUGGGGAGCAAACAGGAUUAAAUACCCUGGUAGUCCCCGCCCUAACGAUGUCNACUGGUUGUUGGGNCNUCCCUGACUCAUANCNNAACUACGCGUGAAUUGACCCCUGGGGAGUACGGCCCNAGGUUGAAACUCNAAG